rnacentral:rRNA from 1 species
UACAGAGGGUGCGAGCGUUGUCCGGAAUCACUGGGCGUAAAGGGCGCGUAGGUGGCGACCCAAGUCGAUGGUGAAAGCUCGCCGCUCAACGGCGAGUCGGCCACCGAUACUGGGUUGCUGGAGCACUGUAGAGGCAGAUGGAAUUCCGGGUGUAGCGGUGGAAUGCGUAGAGAUCCGGAAGAACACCGGUGGCGAAGGCGGCCUUCUGGACAGUGACUGACGCUGAGACGCGAAAGCGUGGGGAGCGAACAGG